rnacentral:rRNA from 1 species
CGACCGGCGCACGGGUGAGUAACACGUAUCCAACCUGCCGAUAACUCGGGGAUAGCCUUUCGAAAGAAAGAUUAAUAUCCGAUAGCAUGUUGAGAUCGCAUGAUUUUGAUAUUAAAGAAUUUCGGUUAUCGAUGGGGAUGCGUUCCAUUAGUUUGUUGGCGGGGUAACGGCCCACCAAGGCGACGAUCGGUAGCCGGACUGAGAGGUUGAACGGCCACAUUGGGACUGAGACACGGCCCAG